rnacentral:rRNA from 1 species
AAACUUUCAACAACGGAUCUCUUGGUUCCGGCAUCGAUGAAGAACGCAGCGAAAUGCGAUACGUAAUGCGAAUUGCAAAUUCAGUGAAUCAUCGAGUCUUUGAACGCACAUUGCGCCCCCUGAUAUUCCGUGGGGCAUGCCUGUCCGAGCGUCAUU